UCCUGCAGAUAGCUCAGUCUGGAGAGCAUGAGACUCUUAAUCUCAGGGUUGUGGGUUGAAGCCACACAUUGGGCA